GCUCAUUAUAUCAGCAAUAAUUUAUUUGAUGGUUUCUUACUACAUGGAUAACUGUAGUAAUUCUAGAGCUAAUACAUGCGUAAAGUCCCAACUCUCGCGGGGAGGGAUGUAUUUAUUAGAUAAAAAACCAAUGCGGGCAACCGCUUUUGUGUUGAAUCAUAGUAACUUUUCGAACGCCAUGGUCUUGUACUGGGCGUAGAUCAUUCAAAUUUCUGCCCUAUCAGCUUUCGACGGUAGUGUAGUGGACUACCGUGGCGUUAACGGGUAACGGGGAAUUAGGGUUCGAUUCCGGAGAGGGAGCCUGAGAAACGGCUACCACAUCCAAGGAAGGCAGCAGGCGCGCAAAUUACCCAAUCCUGACACAGGGAGGUAGUGACAAAAAAUAACAAUACCUGGCCUAAUUAGGUCGGGUAAUUGGAAUGAGUACAAUUUAAAUCCCUUAACGAGGAUCAAUUGGAGGGCAAGUCUGGUGCCAGCAGCCGCGGUAAUUCCAGCUCCAAGAGCAUAUAUUAAAGUUGUUGCAGUUAAAAAGCUCGUAGUUGGAUUUCUGGUCUAAUGCACCUGGCCCGCUGCCGAAAGGCGUGUGAGUGCCGGCGCGCGUUUACCAUCCUUCUAGAAAACAAUUCUGCCAUUAACUUGGUUGGGAUUGCGAUCUAGAUCUUUUACUUUGAAAAAAUUAGAGUGUUUAAAGCAGGCUUUUGCUAUGAAUACAUUAGCAUGGAAUAAUAAUCUAGGACUUCGGUUCUAUUUUGUUGGUUUCUAUAACUGAAGUAAUGAUUGAUAGGGACAGUUGGGGGUGCUAGUAUUGGCCGGCCAGAGGUGAAAUUCUUGGAUUCGGUCAAGACUAACUUAUGCGAAAGCAUUCACCAAGGAUGUCUUCUUUAAUCAAGAACGAAAGUUGGGGGAUCGAAGACGAUCAGAUACCGUCGUAGUCUCAACCAUAAACUAUGCCAACUAGGGAUGGGUGAACGUUGCAUUUUCGACUUCAUCCGCACCUUAUGAGAAAUCAAAGUCUUUGGGUUCCGGGGGGAGUAUGGUCGCAAGGCUGAAACUUAAAGGAAUUGACGGAAGGGCACCACCAGGAGUGGAGCCUGCGGCUUAAUUUGACUCAACACGGAAA
rnacentral:rRNA from 1 species